rnacentral:rRNA from 1 species
AGGGCGCACGGUGGAUGCCUUGGCACUAGAAGCCGAUGAAGGACGUGACUAACGACGAAAUGCUUUGGGGAGCUGUAAGUGAGCAAUGAUCCAGAGAUGUCCGAAUGGGGGAACCCGGCAGGUUAUGCCUGUCACUCAUUACUGUUAAGGUAAUGUAGAGGAAGACGCAGUGAACUGAAACAUCUAAGUAGCUGCAGGAAGAGAAAGCAAAAGCGAUUGCCUUAGUAGCGGCGAGCGAAACGGCAAGAGGGCAAACCGAAGAGUUUACUCUUCGGGGUUGUAGGACUGCAACGUGGACUUAAAGAUUAUAGAAGAACUACCUGGGAAGGUAGGCCAAAGAGAGUAAUAGCCUCGUAUUCGAAAUAGUCUUUAUACCUAGCAGUAUCCUGAGUACGGCGAGACACGAGAAAUCUCGUCGGAAUCUGGGAGGACCAUCUCCCAACCCUAAAUACUCUCUAGUGACCGAUAGUGAACCAGUACCGUGAGGGAAAGGUGAAAAGCACCCCGGGAGGGGAGUGAAAUAGAACCUGAAACCGUGUGCCUACAACAAGUUCGAGCCCGUUAAUGGGUGAGAGCGUGCCUUUUGUAGAAUGAACCGGCGAGUUACGAUAUGAUGCGAGGUUAAGUUGAAGAGACGGAGCCGUAGGGAAACCGAGUCUUAAUAGGGCGUAUUAGUAUCAUGUCGUAGACCCGAAACCAUGUGACCUACCCAUGAGCAGGUUGAAGGUGAGGUAAAACUCACUGGAGGACCGAACCAGGGCACGUUGAAAAGUGCUUGGAUGACUUGUGGGUAGCGGAGAAAUUCCAAACGAACUUGGAGAUAGCUGGUUCUCUCCGAAAUAGCUUUAGGGCUAGCGUCGAUGUUAAGUCUCUUGGAGGUAGAGCACUGUUUGGGUGAGGGGUCCAUCCCGGAUUACCAAUCUCAGAUAAACUCCGAAUGCCAACGAGAUAUAAUCGGCAGUCAGACUGCGAGUGCUAAGAUCCGUAGUCGAAAGGGAAACAGCCCAGACCACCAGCUAAGGUCCCAAAAUAUAUGUUAAGUGGAAAAGGAUGUGGGGUUGCACAGACAACUAGGAUGUUAGCUUAGAAGCAGCUAUUCAUUCAAAGAGUGCGUAAUAGCUCACUAGUCGAGUGACCCUGCGCCGAAAAUGUACCGGGGCUAAAACAUAUUACCGAAGCUGUGGAUACCUUUAUAGGUAUGGUAGGAGAGCGUUCUAUGUGCGAAGAAGGUGUACCGUGAGGAGUGCUGGAGCGCAUAGAAGUGAGAAUGCCGGUAUGAGUAGCGAAAGACAGGUGAGAAUCCUGUCCACCGUAAGACUAAGGUUUCCAGGGGAAGGCUCGUCCGCCCUGGGUUAGUCGGGACCUAAGGAGAGACCGAAAGGUGUAUCCGAUGGACAACAGGUUGAUAUUCCUGUACUAGAGUAUAUAGUGAUGGAGGGACGCAGUAGGCUAACUAAACCAGACGAUUGGAAGUGUCUGGCCAAGCAGUGAGGUGUGAUAUGAGUCAAAUGCUUAUAUCUCUAACAUUGAGCUGUGAUGGGGAGCGAAGUUUAGUAGCGAAGUUAGUGAUGUCACACUGCCGAGAAAAGCUUCUAGCGUUAAUUAUACUCUACCCGUACCGCAAACCGACACAGGUAGUCGAGGCGAGUAGCCUCAGGUGAGCGAGAGAACUCUCGUUAAGGAACUCGGCAAAAUGGCCCCGUAACUUCGGGAGAAGGGGCGCUGACUUAUGGUCAGCCGCAGUGAAUAGGCCCAAGCAACUGUUUAUCAAAAACACAGCUCUCUGCUAAAUCGUAAGAUGAUGUAUAGGGGGUGACGCCUGCCCGGUGCUGGAAGGUUAAGAGGAGUGCUUAGCGUAAGCGAAGGUAUGAAUUGAAGCCCCAGUAAACGGCGGCCGUAACUAUAACGGUCCUAAGGUAGCGAAAUUCCUUGUCGGGUAAGUUCCGACCCGCACGAAAGGCGUAAUGAUUUGGGCACUGUCUCAACGAGAGACUCGGUGAAAUUUUAGUACCUGUGAAGAUGCAGGUUACCCGCGACAGGACGGAAAGACCCCAUGGAGCUUUACUGCAGUUUGAUAUUGAGUAUCUGUACCACAUGUACAGGAUAGGUAGGAGCCUAUGACCUCGGGACGCCAGUUUCGAGUGAGGCGUUGUUGGGAUACUACCCUUGUGUUAUGGCUACUCUAACCCAGAUAGGUUAUCCCUAUCGGAGACAGUGUCUGACGGGCAGUUUGACUGGGGCGGUCGCCUCCUAAAAGGUAACGGAGGCGCCCAAAGGUUCCCUCAGAAUGGUUGGAAAUCAUUCGCAGAGUG